AGCAGCCGCGGUAAUUCCAGCUCCAAUAGCGUAUAUUAAAGUUGUUGCAGUUAAAAAGCUCGUAGUUGAACUUCGGGGUUUACCCAUUGGUCAGGCUUAAUUGUCUGUACUGGUGAGAUAAAUCUCUACCUUCUGAGGAACUUUCAUGUCAUUAAUUUGGUGUGAUUGGAAAUCAGGACUGUUACUUUGAAAAAAUUAGAGUGUUUAAAGCAGGCUAACGUCUGAAUACAUUAGCAUGGAAUAAUGAAAUAGGACGGACUGAUUCUAUUUCGUUGGUUUCUAGGAUCACCGUAAUGAUUAAUAGGGAUAGUUGGGGGCAUUAGUAUUCAAUUGUCAGAGAUGAAAUUCUUGGAUUUAUUGAAGACUAACUACUGCGAAAGCAUUUGCCAAGGAUGUUUUCAUUAAUCAAGAACGAAAGUUAGGGGAUCGAAGACGAUCAGAUACCGUCGU
rnacentral:rRNA from 1 species